ACAAAAUCUAACGAGGACACUGAGAUCCCCGCAGAGCUGUGCCAUGGGAUCCAGGGUUUAUUAAACCUUGACGACAAACCUAUUCUCCCAGAUCAGCCAGUGACGUCCCCCAUCCCAACGCUGCGAGACAUCGCACAGAACAGCGCCAUCGGGUAAGAAACUCCCAUAAAUUGUCUAAAAGCAGAACAGAUGUGUUUUCAGGU